rnacentral:tRNA from 1 species
GAAACUUAGGAUAACCCCAAACCGAGGGCCUUCAAAGCCCUAAACAAGAGUUUAACUCUCUUAGUUUCUGC